rfam:Eutrema salsugineum unplaced genomic scaffold scaffold_6, whole genome shotgun sequence.
AAGCCAUGAUGGGGGCAGUCUCGUUGGUACGAUUUGAAUCGCACCCAAGAAGCUUUGAAUGCUUCAGUUGGUUCCUGAGAAAAAGUUGAAAUUUUCGUCCUCAACUC